rnacentral:rRNA from 1 species
GUCUUUUUGAGUUAUUUUUAAAGUCUGACCUGCCCACUGAAUAUUUUUAAAUGGCCGCAGUAUUCUAACUGUGCAAAGGUAGCAUAAUCAUUAGUCUUUUAAUUGAAGGCUGGUAUGAACGGUUGGACGAAGUAUAAGCUGUUUCAUAUAAAAUUAUAUUAGAAUUUUAUAUUUUAGUUAAAAAGCUAAAAUAUUAUUAAAAGACGAGAAGACCCUAUAAAUCUUUAUAUUUAAUAUUAUUCAAAUUUUUUUGAUUAAUUUUAUUUUUAUAAUAUUAAAUAUUUUGUUGGGGUGAUAUUAAAAUUUAACAAACUUUUAAUUUUGAAUUAGAACAUUAAUUUAUGAAUAGUUGAUCCAUUAUUAAUGAUUAUAAGAUUAAGUUACUUUAGGGAUAACAGCGUAAUUUUUUUUGAGAGUUCAUAUCGACAAAAAAGUUUGCGACCUCGAUGUUGGAUUAAGAUAUAUAUUUAGGUGUAGCCGUUUAAAUAUUAA